UACGGAGGGCGCGAGCGUUACCCGGAUUUACUGGGCGUAAAGGGCGUGUAGGCGGCUUGGGGCGUCCCAUGUGAAAGGCCACGGCUCAACCGUGGAGGAGCGUGGGAUACGCUCAGGCUAGACGGUGGGAGAGGGUGGUGGAAUUCCCGGAGUAGCGGUGAAAUGCGCAGAUACCGGGAGGAAUGCCGAUGGCGAAGGCAGCCACCUGGCUCACUGGUGACGCUGAGGCGCAAAAGCGUGGGGAGCAAACCGG
rnacentral:rRNA from 1 species